rnacentral:rRNA from 1 species
UGAGGAAUAUUGCGCAAUGGGCGAAAGCCUGACGCAGCGACGCCGCGUGGAGGAUGAAGGUCUUUGGAUUGUAAACUUCUGUUAAGUGGGACGAAAAAGUUGCUUCUAAUACAAGCAAAAAAUGACGGUACCACUAAAGAAAGCACCGGCUAACUUCGUGCCAGCAGCCGCGGUAAUACGAAGGGUGCAAGCGUUAUUCGGAUUUAUUGGGUGUAAAGGGUGCGUAGACGGUAUGUUAAGUCCGCUGUUAAAUUUCCCGGCCUAACUGGGAGCCAGCGGUGGAUACUGACGUGCUAGAGGAUGGAAGAGAGAAGUGGAAUUCCCGGAGUAGCGGUAAAAUGCGUAGAUCUCGGGAGGAACACCAAUGGCGAAGGCAGCUUCUUGGUCCAUAUCUGACGUUGAGGCACGAAAGCGUGGGGAGCAAACAGGAUUAGAUACCCGCGUAGUCC